rnacentral:tRNA from 1 species
UGCAUCGGCCGGAAUCGAACCCGGGCCGCCAGCGUGGCAGGCGAGCAUUCUACCACUGAACCACCGAUGG